CCUACGGGUGGCAGCAGUGAGGAAUAUUGGUCAAUGGCCGGAAGGCUGAACCAGCCAAGCCGCGUGAAGGACGAAGGUGCCAAGCAUUGUAAACUUCUUUUGUCAAGGGACAAAAUCAGGCUCGAGAGCCUGACCGAGGGUACUUGAAGAAAAAGCAUCGGCUAACUCCGUGCCAGCAGCCGCGGUAAUACGGAGGAUGCGAGCGUUAUCCGGUUUUAUGGGGUUUAAAGGGUGCGUAGGCGGACUGUUAAGUCAGCGGUAAAAGCCCGGGGCUCAACCCCGGCGAGCCGUUGAAACUGGGUGUCUUGAGAUGUCGAGAGGUAUGCGGAAUGCGCAGUGUAGCGGUGAAAUGCUUAGAUAUUGCGCAGAACUCCGAUUGCGAAGGCAGCAUACCGGCGGCGAUCUGACGCUGAGGCACGAAAGCGUGGGUAUCGAACAGGAUUAGAUACCCGUGUAGUC
rnacentral:rRNA from 1 species